rnacentral:rRNA from 1 species
AGAGUUUGAUCCUGGCUCAGGAUGAACGCUGGCGGCGUGCCUAAUACAUGCAAGUCGAACGAGAAACUUCUGGUACUUGUAUCGGUUGUUUUCUAGUGGCGAACGGGUGAGUAACGCGUUGGUGACCUACCCCAAAGUGGGGGAUAACAGAUCGAAAGAUCUGCUAAUACCCCAUGUUGUCAUCGUUUUUAGAGAUCGAUGAUUAAAGGAGCAAUUCGCUUUGGGAGGGGCCUGCGUCCCAUCAGCUAGUUGGUAAGGUAAUGGCUUACCAAGGCUAUGACGGGUAAGGGACCUGAGAGGGUGGCCCCUCACAAUGGAACUGAAACACGGUCCAUACACCUACGGGUGGCAGCAGUAGGGAAUAUUGCACAAUGGACGAAAGUCUGAUGCAGCAACGCCGCGUGUACGAUGAAGGUCUUCGGAUUGUAAAGUACUUUUCAGGGAGAUGAGAAAGGACAGUACCCCUGGAAUAAGUCUCGGCUAACUACGUGCCAGCAGCCGCGGUAACACGUAGGAGGCGAGCGUUAUCCGGAUUUACUGGGUGUAAAGCGCGUGCAGGCGGUUUGAUAAGUUGGAUGUGAAAGCUCCUGGCUUAACUGGGAGAGGUCGUUCAAAACUAUCAGACUAGAGAAUGGUAGAGGAAGAUGGAAUUCCCGGUGUUGGUGAAAUGCGUAGAUAUCGGGAGGAACACCAGUGGCGAAGGCGGUCUUCUGGCCCAUUUCUGACGCUAAGACGCGAAGGCUAGGGUAGCAAACGGGAUUAGAGACCCCGGUAGUCCUAGCAGUAAACGAUGUGAACUUGGCGUUGGUGGUGUAAAAACCAUCAGUGCCGUAGCUAACGCGAUAAGUUCACCACCUGGGAACUACGGCCGCAAGGUUAAAACUCAAAGGAAUUGACGGGUCCCCGCACAAGCAGCGGAGCGUGUGGUUUAAUUCGUUUACACGAAGAACCUUACCCGGGUUUGACAUGCAAGUGGUAGUGAAGCGAAAGCGGAACGACCCUUCGGGGAGCUUGCACAGGUGCUGCAUGGCUGUCGUCAGCUCGUGUCGUGAGAUGUCCGGUUAGGUCCGGUAACGAGCGCAACCCUCGCUGUAUGUUAUAAGUGUCAUACGGGACCGCCGGUAUCAAGCCGGAGGAAGGUGGGGAUGACGUCAAGUCAGCAUGGCCUUUAUAUCCGGGGCUACACACACGCUACAAUGGCCGGUACAAUAGGUUGCGAAACCGCGAGGUGGAGCCAAUCCUUCAAAACCGGUCUCAGUUCAGAUCGCAGGCUGCAACUCGCCUGCGUGAAGUCGGAGUUGCUAGUAAACACGCGUCAGCUAUAGUGCGUUGAAUACGUUCCCGGGGAUUGUACACACCGCCCGUCGCGUCAUGGGAGCUGGCAACACCUAAAGCCGGUAGCCUAACCGCAAGGAGGGCGCUGUCUAAGGUGGGGUUGGUGACUGGGACGAAGUCGUAACAAGGUA